GCACCAGUAGCUUAGCUGGAUAGAGCACUCGGCUACGAACCGAGAGGUCGGGGAUUCGAAUUCCUCCUGGUGCACCA
rnacentral:tRNA from 4 species